UACGUAGGGGGCAAGCGUUGUCCGGAUUUAUUGGGCGUAAAGAGCGUGUAGGCGGGUCCUUAAGUCAGGGGUGAAAUGCCAAGGCUCAACCUUGGAACUGCCUUUGAUACUGCGAAUCUUGAGUCCGAUAGAGGUGGGUGGAAUUCCUAGUGUAGAGGUGAAAUUCGUAGAUAUCGUAAGGAAGACCAGUGGCGAAGGCGAAUCUCUGGACAGUUACUGACACUGAGGCACGAAGGCCAGGGGAGCAAACGGG
rnacentral:rRNA from 1 species